UCCCGCCUCUGUGUGGUAGAAGGAAAGAAGCAUUGGCGUUGAUCUUACGCUCAAAAUCCCCAAUUUCAAAAACCCUAAUUCUCUCUCUUCCUCUCUCUCUCUCUCACUUAUCAUCUCCAUCCUUUUUCCCUCUACAUUCGCAAUUUCUAAUCCGGAUCCUUCGGUUUCAAUCCGCCGCACCAUUCUCUUCUCCUUCUUCUUCGCAUUCUCGUUCGUUUUCCUACUCAGUUUUUGAACACAAUGAGGAAAGGUACUAAAAGAAAAGCAGCUAGAAAGGAAGAGGAUAAACCUGCGGAACCUAAGCCCGACAAAGCCCCAUCUCGUGCCAAGCGGACUAAGCUCCCCAAACCCGAAUCCGAACCCGAGUAUUUUGAGGAUAAGCGUAACAUGGAAGAUUUGUGGAAAGCAGCAUUUCCUGUUGGGACAGAGUGGGAUCAAUUGGACUCGGUUUAUCAAUUCAACUGGAAUUUCUCAAAUCUGGAAGAUGCAUUUGAAGAGGGAGGAAAGUUGUAUGGCGAGAAGGUUUAUCUAUUUGGUUGUACAGAGCCUCAAUUGGUUCCUUUCAAGGGAGAAAAUAAAGUUAUAUGCAUACCUGUUGUGGUGGCUGUUGCAUCUCCUUUCCCACCUUCUGAUAAAAUUGGCAUCAAUUCUGUUCAAAGAGAGGCUGAAGAGAUAAUUCCCAUGAAGCAGAUGAAAAUGGACUGGGUUCCUUAUAUUCCCCUGGAGAAGAGAGAUAGAAGAGUUGAUAAAUUGAAAUCUCAAAUAUUCAUCCUCAGCUGCACUCAGAGAAGAGCUGCUUUGAAGCAUUUAAAAAUAGAUCGUCUCAAGAAAUAUGAGUAUUGCUUACCCUACUUUUACCAACCCUUUAAGGAUGAUGAAUUUGAACAAAGCACUGAGGUUCCAAUUAUUUUCCCAGUAGACCCAAAGCCAGUUUUCUGUGAAUUUGAUUGGGAAUUUGAUGAACUCGAGGAGUUCACGGAUAAGUUGAUUGAGGAAGAAGAAUUAUCUGAAAGUCAAAAGGAUGCCUUCAAGUUCUCGAUUUUUAGGAUUUUGUAAGGGAGAAAGUUAGAGAGGCCAAGAAAGCUAAUAGAGAGGCUAGGGAAGCACGGAAAAAGGCCAUUGAGGAAAUGAGCAAUGAAACUAAGGAAGCAUUCGAGAAGAUGAAAUUUUACAAGUUCUACCCUGUACAAACACCUGAUUCACCCGAUAUAUCCAAUGUUAAGGCUCCAUUUAUAAAUAGGUACUACGGAAAGGCUCAUGAAGUUCUGUGAUAUCUCAUACCAUGGCUAGCACAAGAUAGAAAUUGUUACGAAGCUCCACUUCGUUCCACAUCUUGCUCAACAUUCGAAGGUAUUGCUUCUGUUAUGCCAAAACUGAGACGCCAAUGCCUAUUGACUUCUUUUAUUGAUCUAGCAAGAAAAAAUGACGGGAUCUUGAGCAAUACCCUCCAAACUCUUUAGGUAGGCUGCUGUACUAUUUAGGAUCACGCUUUGUGUCUUCAAUCGUUUUUUCGUUCUUUUCUUAAAUUCUUAAUGCCGUUACCAGAAAAAAAGGACUUAGAAUCUCACUCACCUCUUAGUUGGAAUAUCUUGGUGUAAUUUUGUUAAUUAUUCCAUCAUUUCAGUUUUGUAUAACCAUAGUCUGAGUUCUACAACCUCCAAGAACAGACGUGUUCACUGCAUUGGUUUUUGAAGGAUAUAUAUAUAAAUAUAUAUAUACAUUGUUUACAACCUCCAAGAAUAAAUUCUUCUAUUAGUUUGUGUU